CUGCUCUGCUUCCCCAUGCUGCCCUCCCGUGCACAGCCCUGCUCACCAGAUUGCUGGUCUGCCAGCCAUGCCCGUGGCUGUGUGGGGCUGCCUGUUUCCCCAAGCCUGGGUGGAAAGCGGCACAGCAGUCAGCAGGCCAGGUGCCAGCACCUAGAGUGGGUCCCCUGCUCAGCUAACUAAUAUCAACUGUUGGGGUGAGGGCAGGGGUGUCUUGGGGAGCAGUUAGGGGCCCUUCGGGCCUACGAAGGAUACCGUUUCUGGCUGACUUAUCUGUCUGGUAUGGCAUGGAGACCGGUUAGAGAGCUGAGGACAGGCGCAUGUCCAGCUCUGGUUCCAUCUUGGAGUAGACACCCAUCUGCAGUGCAGAGAGGAAGGACGAAAGGAGCAGCCUCCUGCCCUGCUUCUCUGCUCUGCCCUCCCCUGCACAGCCCCGCUCACCUGGUUCCUGGUCUGAAAAUGGUUUCCUUGGCCAUUUUGUGCUCACUGUGUCAGCAGCGCCACAUUGACACGGCCACUGCAGUUAUAUGCGGUGUGGUGCCGGCACCUGCAGAGGGAUGAGGAGUCAGACAAGCAGAGUUAAAGGUAUGGGUUAAGAGCAGGGGGAUGCUAUGGAGCUUCCAUGGGCCUGUAGGUGCAAGACAGGCUAGAGUUUGAGCGUGACUUAUCUUUUUUGUAGGGCGUGAACACCAGUUUGUCAAAUGAAGCUCAGGCCCUGGUGGUCAUCUGUUUCCGUUGGUGUUGGGCUGUCCAUCUGCAAGGCAGAUGAGAGGCACGAGAGGAACAGCCUCCUGCUCUGCUUCCCCGUGCUGCCCUCCCGUGCACAGCCCUGCUCACCAGGUUGCUGGUCUGCCAGCCAUGCCCGUGGCUGUGUGGGGCUGCCUGUUUCCCCAAGCCUGGGUGGAAAGCGGCAUGGCAGUCAGCAGGCCUGGUGCCAGCACCUAGAGAGGAGCCCGUGCUCAGCUAAGAGGUAUCAAUCGUUGGGGUGAGGGCAGAAUUUCCUGGGGAACAGCCAGGAGUUCUGUGGUCCCAGGAAGGAUACCGUUUCUGGCUGACUUAUCUGUCUGGUAUGGCAUGGAGACCGGUUACAGAGCUGAGGACAGGCGUGUGUCCAGCUCUGGUUCCAUCUUGGUGUGGACGCCCAUCUGCAAGGCAGAGGGGAAGGACGAAAGGAGCAGCAUCCUGCCCUGCUUCCCUGCUCUGCCCUCCCCUGCACAGCCCCGCUCACCGGGUUCCUGGUCUGAAAAUGGUUUCCUUGGCCAUUUUGGGCUCACUGUGUCAGCAGCGCCGUGUUGGCAUGGCCAUGCAGUCAUGCGGUGUGGUGCCGGCACCUGCAGUGGGGUCGAGAUUCAGCAAAAGCAGAGUUAAAGGUUUGGGUUAAGAGCAGGGGGAUGCUAUGGAGCUUCCAUAGGCCUGGAGGUGCAAGACAGGCUAGAGUUUGAGCGUGACUUAUCUUUUUUGUAGGGCGUGAACACCAGCUUGUCAAAUGGAGCUCAGGCCCUGGUGGUCAUCUUUUUCCAUUGGUGUUGGGCUGUCCAUCUGCAAGGCAGAUGGGAGGCACGAGAGGAGCAGCCUCCUGCUCUGCUUCCCCGUGCUGCCCUCCCGUGCACAGCCCUGCUCACCAGGUUGCUGGUCUGCCAGCCAUGCCCGUGGCUGUGUGUGGCUGCUUUUUUCCCCAAGCCUGGGUAGAAAGCGGCACGACAAUCAGCAGGCCUGGUGCUGGCACCUAGAGAGG
ensembl:lncRNA